CAUCGGAACGUGCCCAGUCGUGGGGGAUAACUACGCGAAAGCGUAGCUAAUACCGCAUACGAUCUACGGAUGAAAGCGGGGGAUCGCAAGACCUCGCGCGAUUGGAGCGGCCGAUGGCAGAUUAGGUAGUUGGUGGGGUAAAGGCUCACCAAGCCAACGAUCUGUAGCUGGUCUGAGAGGACGACCAGCCACACUGGGACUGAGACACGGCCCAGACUCCUACGGGAGGCAGCAGUGGGGAAUUUUGGACAAUGGGCGAAAGCCUGAUCCAGCCAUUCCGCGUGCAGGAUGAAGGCCCUCGGGUUGUAAACUGCUUUUGUACGGAACGAAAAGCCUUCUUCUAAUACAGGAGGGUCAUGACGGUACCGUAAGAAUAAGCACCGGCUAACUACGUGCCAGCAGCCGCGGUAAUACGUAGGGUGCAAGCGUU
rnacentral:rRNA from 1 species